GUGUCAGCCGCCGCGGUAAUACGUAGGCAGCAAGCGUUGUUCGGAAUUACUGGGCGUAAAGAGUGUGUAGGCGGUGCUCUAAGUUUGGUGUGAAAUCUCCCGGCUCAACUGGGAGGGUGCAUCGAAAACUGGGGUGCUCGAGGGUGGGAGAGGUAAGCGGAAUUCCUGGUGUAGCGGUGAAAUGCGUAGAUAUCAGGAGGAACACCUGUGGUGUAGACAGCUUACUGGACCACUUCUGACGCUGAGACACGAAAGCGUGGGUAGCAAACAGGAUUAGAUACCCUGGUAGUCCACGCCCUAAACGAUGCAUACUUGGUGUGAGUCAUUCAUUUGAUUCGUGCCGGAGCUAACGCGUUAAGUAUGCCGCCUGGGGAGUACGGUCGCAAGGCUGAA
rnacentral:rRNA from 1 species